rnacentral:rRNA from 1 species
GGUGCCCGUACCGCAAACCGACACAGGUAGGCGAGAAGAGUAUUCUAAGGCGCGCGGAAGAACUCUCGUUAAGGAACUCGGCAAAAUGACCCCGUAACUUCGGGAGAAGGGGUGCCCCGGUAGUGUGAAUAGCACGAGGGGGCCGCAGUGAAAAGGCCCAAGCGACUGUUUAGCAAAAACACAGGUCUGUGCGAAGCCGUAAGGCGAAGUAUACGGGCUGACGCCUGCCCGGUGCUGGAAGGUUAAGGGGAGUGGUUAGGGAGUAAUCCCGAAGCUGUGAACCGAAGCCCCAGUAAACGGCGGCCGUAACUAUAACGGUCCUAAGGUAGCGAAAUUCCUUGUCAGGUAAAUUCUGACCCGCACGAAUGGCGUAACGACUUGGGCGCUGUCUCAACGAGAGAUCCGGUGAAAUUUUAAUACCUGUGAAGAUGCAGGUUACCCGCGACAAGACGGAAAGACCCCAUGGAGCUUUACUGCAGCUUGAUAUUGAAUUUGGGUACGAUCUGUACAGGAUAGGUGGGAGCCUUUGAAGUGGGAGCGCAAGCUUCCAUGGAGGCAACGUUGGGAUACCACCCUGAUCGUAUCUAGGUUCUAACCUGGUACCGUAAUCCGGUGCGGGGACAGUGUCAGGUGGGCAGUUUGACUGGGGCGGUCGCCUCCUAAAGAGUAACGGAGGCGCCCAAAGGUUCCCUCAGAAUGGUUGGAAAUCAUUCGAAGAGUGCAAAGGCAUAAGGGAGCUUGACUGCGAGACCUACAAGUCGAGCAGGGACGAAAGUCGGGCUUAGUGAUCCGGUGGUACCGCAUGGAAGGGCCAUCGCUCAACGGAUAAAAGCUACCCUGGGGAUAACAGGCUUAUCUCCCCCAAGAGUCCACAUCGACGGGGAGGUUUGGCACCUCGAUGUCGGCUCAUCGCAUCCUGGGGCUGAAGUAGGUCCCAAGGGUUGGGCUGUUCGCCCAUUAAAGCGGUACGCGAGCUGGGUUCAGAACGUCGUGAGACAGUUCGGUCCCUAUCUGUCGUGGGCGUAGGAAAUUUGAGAGGAGCUGUCCUUAGUACGAGAGGACCGGGAUGGACGUACCGCUGGUGUACCAGUUGUUCCGCCAGGAGCACCGCUGGGUAGCUAUGUACGGACGGGAUAAACGCUGAAAGCAUCUAAGCGUGAAGCCCCCCUCAAGAUGAGAUUUCCCAGUAUGUAAGACCCCUUGAAGACGACGAGGUAGAUAGGCUGGGGGUGGAAGUGCAGCAAUGCAUGGAGCUGACCAGUACUAAUCGGUCGAGGGCUUAUCCAAU